AGUUGUUGAUGUGGCUUUAGUG
rnacentral:miRNA from 1 species